AACGAACGCUGGCGGCAGGCUUAACACAUGCAAGUCGAGCGCCCCGCAAGGGGAGCGGCAGACGGGUGAGUAACGCGUGGGAAUCUACCGUACCCUACGGAAUAACGCAUGGAAACGUGUGCUAAUACCGUAUACGCCCUUAGGGGGAAAGAUUUAUCGGGGUAUGAUGAGCCCGCGUUGGAUUAGCUAGUUGGUGGGGUAAAGGCCUACCAAGCGACGAUCCAUAGCUGGUCUGAGAGGAUGAUCAGCCACAUUGGGACUGAGACACGGCCCAAACUCCUACGGGGAGGCAGCAGUGGGGAAUAUUGGACAAUGGGCGCAAGCCUGAUCCAGCCAUGCCGCGUGAGUGAUGAAGGCCUUAGGUUGUAAAGCUCUUUCACCGAUGAAGAUAAUGACGGUAGUCG
rnacentral:rRNA from 1 species